rnacentral:tRNA from 1 species
UGGUCCCUUGGUGUAGUGGUUAUCACGCCUCCCUGUCACGGAGGAGAUCACCGGUCCGAAUCCGGUAGGGACCGUAAU